GUGGGAAUAUUGGAAUAACCUAAUAACAACUAUUUCCAUUUCGUAUUUUGCCAAGGUUGGGGUCGGGAGUUCGAGUCUCCUUUCCCGCUCCA
rnacentral:tRNA from 1 species